rnacentral:rRNA from 1 species
GACGGAGGAUGCAAGCGUUAUCCGGAAUGAUUGGGCGUAAAGCGUCCGCAGGUGGCAGUUCAAGUCUGCUGUCAAAGACUGGGGCUUAACCCUGGAAAGGCGGUGGAAACUGAAGCGCUAGAGUGCGGUAGGGGUAGAGGGAAUUCCCGGUGUAGCGGUGAAAUGCGUAGAGAUCGGGAAGGACAUCGGUGGCGAAAGCGCUCUACUGGACCGCAACUGACACUCAGGGACGAAAGCUAGGGGAGCGAAUGGG